rnacentral:rRNA from 1 species
UGCAGUCGAACGGAACAUGUCUAGCUUGCUAGAUGAUGUCGAGUGGCGGACGGGUGAGUAAUGCUUGGGAACUUGCCUUUGCGAGGGGGAUAACAGUUGGAAACGACUGCUAAUACCGCAUAAUGUCUUCGGACCAAACGGGGCUUCGGCUCCGGCGCAAAGAGAGGCCCAAGUGAGAUUAGCUAGUUGGUGAGGUAAAGGCUCACCAAGGCAACGAUCUCUAGCUGUUCUGAGAGGAAGAUCAGCCACACUGGGACUGAGACACGGCCCAGACUCCUACGGGAGGCAGCAGUGGGGAAUAUUGCACAAUGGGGGAAACCCUGAUGCAGCCAUGCCGCGUGUGUGAAGAAGGCCUUCGGGUUGUAAAGCACUUUCAGUUGUGAGGAAAAGUUAGUAGUUAAUACCUGCUAGCCGUGACGUUAACAACAGAAGAAGCACCGGCUAACUCCGUGCCAGCAGCCGCGGUAAUACGGAGGGUGCGAGCGUUAAUCGGAAUUACUGGGCGUAAAGCGCACGCAGGCGGUUUGUUAAGCUAGAUGUGAAAGCCCCGGGCUCAACCUGGGACGGUCAUUUAGAACUGGCAGACUAGAGUCUUGGAGAGGGGAGUGGAAUUCCAGGUGUAGCGGUGAAAUGCGUAGAUAUCUGGAGGAACAUCAGUGGCGAAGGCGACUCCCUGGCCAAAGACUGACGCUCAUGUGCGAAAGUGUGGGUAGCGAA